CCAAGGAAUAGUUUAAUCUUAGAACUCUGGCUUUGGGA
rnacentral:tRNA from 2 species